rnacentral:lncRNA from 1 species
AGUGGGCUUUCUCGCUGCAACCAUCGAUAUAAAUACUCAUGAUUGGCUGUAUUUACAGGGCCUUUUCAGCCUCCUGUUGGUUUCAAACACAAAGAGAAAUGGUCUCUCUUGCCUGUGCCUUGUCUGAUCAGCCAGAGAAGCCAUGGAAGACCCUCUCUGAGCUCUGCUGGAAGAUGAUUUCCAGUGGAUAUAGGACAGUUCUGGCUGGAAAGGGGCUUGAGUGCUGUGACAGGUGGUGGCGUCUGUCAUUAGGAUGUGAGAGACCCCAGUGAAGGAAGCAUAGAGGGGCCAGCAUUUGGGUUGAUGAACCACACACCAUGGUGGCGUGUGCUCAGAUAGGCCAGGCAGUUGUCCCCUUGUGGUUUAAGCUUAUCGAACUGCAUAACAAUAAAUUCCUAUCAUCAAAUUCCCUAGCUUUCUCCCAGUGCACGUGGAGGUAUGUAUCCUUCCAAGCCAGUGGCGAUAUUUGGUAGGUAGACCCAGCUAGUGUACUUGGUUGUAGAGAACUGGUACACGUGCCUCUGCAGACACCCAGAAGAAUGCCUAGGGAAAAUGUCCCAUGCUGUGUGAUUCUGUCUUCAUGGCUUUCUGGAGCCUCUAGUCAGUUGUUCCAUGAGACUCCUAUCAAGCUACUACAUGUCCAACAAAAUUAUAUCGAUGAAGAACAGGAAGACACUCUGCCUUAGGGCUCUCAUCCUAAAACAGCACAUGACCCCGAGGAUAGUUGUUAGGAGCAGUAGUGAAGUGGCCCACACCAUACCCAGGCACCUUGCCAUGCUGUGCAUUUACUGAGUAUUUGCUAUGGAGGAGGGCUAAGGGACUUGCAGCCUCAAAGAGGGCAC